rnacentral:rRNA from 1 species
AUUGCCUCAGUAACGGCGAGUGAAGCGGCAACAGCUCAAAUUUGAAAUCUGGGGCCUUCGGCCUCCGAGUUGUAAUUUGAAGAGGAUGUUUCGGCGGCAGCUUUGGCCCAAGUUCCUUGGAACAGGACGUCAUGGAGGGUGAGAAUCCCGUGUCUGGCUGAUAGCUUGCUGCCAUGUGAAACUCCUUCGAAGAGUCGAGUUGUUUGGGAAUGCAGCUCAAAAUGGGUGGUAAAUUUCAUCUAAAGCUAAAUAUUGGCGGGAGACCGAUAGCGCACAAGUAGAGUGAUCGAAAGAUGAAAAGCACUUUGAAAAGAGAGUUAAACAGUACGUGAAAUUGUUGAAAGGGAAGCGCUUGCAAUCAGACUCACUUGCGGUUGAUCAACAAUCCUUUUGGUUUGUGCACUCUGCCGUUUGUGGGCCAGCAUCAGCUGGGGCGGUGGGACAAAGGCAGCGGGAAUGUGGCUCCCCUCGGGGAGUGUUAUAGCCCGUUGCGUAAUGCCACCAGCCCCGGCUGAGGUCCGCGGUUCGCCUAGGAUGCUGGCUUAAUGGUUGUAAGCGACCCGUCUUGAAACACGGACCAAGGAGUCUAACAUCUAUGCGAGUCUUUGGGUGUCAAACCCAUAGGCGUAAUGAAAGUGAACGGAGGUGGGAGUCUUCGGAUGCACCAUCGACCGAUCCUGAUGUUCUCGGAUGGAUUUGAGUAGGAGCAUAGCUGUUGGGACCCGAAAGAUGGUGAACUAUGCCUGAAUAGGGUGAAGCCAGAGGAAACUCUGGUGGAGGCUCGCAGCGGUUCUGACGUGCAAAUCGAUCGUCAAAUUUGGGUAUAGGGGCGAAAGACUAAUCGAACCAUCUAGUAGCUGGUUCCUGCCGAG